ACUGAAAGAUGAGACAAAUUUUUCAACUGAACCUCAAGUUUUUACUCAGCUCUAAUUGUUU
rnacentral:sRNA from 1 species